UGUGUGCUUAGGGCCAUCGUCCUCUCCCAGUCUGAGGUCUCGUUGGACCCUCUGGACCAAGUUUUAAAGAAGGAUAUCUCUGUACUUCGCUCUAUUCAGCUUUCCCUCAAACCUGACCAGUCACCUGAACAGUCCCUGCCCCUGACAAACACCCCCACAGCAUGAUGCGUUCACCACCAUGCCUCACCGUUUGGAUGGUAUUGGGCAAGUGAUGAGCGUUGACAGGUUUCUUCCAGACAUGACACAGAAUUGAAGCCAAGGUUCAAUCUUGGCUUCAACAGACCGGAAUCUUGUUACUCACAGUCUGAGUCCUUUAGGUACUUUUUUUUUGCAAAAUCCAAGCAGGCUUUCCUGUGUCUGUCACAGGAGAGGCUUUCAUCUGGCCACUCUGCUAUAAAGCCAUGACUUGGGAGUUUUGCAGUAAUGGAGCUUUCUCCAAUCUCCACACAGGAUCUCUGGAGCUCAGCCAGAGUGACCAUCAACUUCUUGGUCACCUUUCUUACCAAGGCGCUUCUCCCCGAGUUUGACUGGGUGGCCAGCUUUAGAAAGAGUCCUGGUUGUUCCAAACUUCUUCAAUUUAAGAAUUAUGAAGGCCACUGUGCUCCUGACAAUCUUCAAUGCAGCAGAAAAAAAUGUGUAGCCCUCUCUAGAUCAGUGCUUCAACACAAUCCUGUCUCUGAGCUCGGCAGGAAGUUCCUUCGACCUCAUGGCUUGGUUUUUGCUCUGAUAUGCAUUGUCAGAUGCGGGACCUUAUAUAGACAGGUGUGUGCCUUUCCAAAUCAUGUCUAAUCAAUUUAAUUUACCACAAGUGGACUCCAAUCAAGGUGUAGAAACAUCUCAAACAUCUGAAAGAUGAUCGUAAAUUUCAAGUGUCAUAGCAAAGAGUCUGAAUACUUCUGUCAAUGUGAAAAAUGUCUGAAAUCCUAUUUUCGCUUUGUCAUUAUGGGGUAUUCAGUAUAAUUGAUAAGGGGAAAAAAUAAUUUAAAUGAUUUUAGCAUAAGGCUGCAACAUAAUAAAAUGUGAAGAAAGUGAAGGGGUCUGAAUAGUUUCUUAAUGCACUGUAUGUCAAGUGCUUUGGAAGUUUUUAGGGUGGUACAUAGCGUUAUAUUAAUGUCUCCAUUAAUGUACUCAUUCAAAGUUUGAUCAAAUACCAAAAAUACUGUCUGUAUCUCAUUGGAUGCUAUUUAGUGACUGAACUCUGUCCCUUAUGUAAUUGCUGGAUUGUGUUUGUGUGUUUAGUGACCCCGAUUCUGGGGGCGAGGGUCUAUUCAUGGCUGGGAAUAUAAAGGAACAGCUCGUUCACGUAACGGGUCACGUCUAGUCCUCUCAGGGCUGUACUUGACCUCAUCAUGUUGCGGUCCGUGCUUUCCCACAGUACUCUGUGAGGUGCAUCUACAACCCCAACACAGGGACAAGUCUGCAUCAGUACAUCUGCCUGGACAUGCAACAGCGUGGGUGUUUUCUCCUUUCAAGGAUCCAGAGAGUCUGCUCAGAAAUGGACAUGUGUUGACAUGCGCUUCGAAGCGCUGCUUUCUUGAAGUCGAGUUCUGACAACAGCGGGAGUGAUCUGAAUUCUGAGUAAACCAGAACUCUGUUCCCUGAACAUAACAGCCCAGGUUAAGGAACACAUUUAAAUGUGCAUAUUCACAUUUGAAGGGUUUAAAAACUGUGAAAAUGUAUCAUUCUUAACCACUCCCAUUAUUGUUGUCAUAUCAUCUAGUUGUCAUAUCUUGUCUAGAAACUGCACAAUCAAGGGUAAGAUAUUCACACUUGUAGUGGAGAGGGCACUCUAAUAGGCCGAUCAAUAGAAUAAGACAGAACCCUCUAAGUAAUACUCACACACACU